rnacentral:lncRNA from 1 species
CACAGACUGUCCCUCCUCUGUAGAUGGUUACUAUUUAUGUCUAUACCAUUAAUAGUUGGAAGGAAAUCUAUAUCAAAGCUUCACUUUUUAGGUCUCCCCUUCUAUGUUCAACUCUACUGUGAUCUGAUGGAUUUCUCUUUGCCACUGAGCUUCAGGACUGGGGAUACUCUUCCUGCCCUCAAAACUGUAGUAUUUUACCUGUCAGCAGUGGUGAUUCAGCUUUCCACACGUGAAUUUAUGCAGGAGGGCUCUGUUCUGAUGUGUGCCCGAGCAGGGACAGCUUCCCACAGCAUCUCCUGAUGUGGCUGGAGGCUCCUGAGCUCACUGCUGUUCAGAUGGUGCCAUCUGGCUCUCAUGAAAUAUAUGAGAAAUGUUAUCCACUAAAAGAGGGGGCUGUGUGCCUUCACCUGUGCUCUUUGGGGAAGAGAUGGUUUCUGCAUCUGGGAAAUGUUGAACAGAAUCUUUGAGUGCUAGUGUUGCCUGAGUAAGAAAUAAUAGGCUGGCAAUUAGGAUUCAGGCCUCAACCAGUGGUUAACUAGAAGAUAUUUUGUUUGGUCAGGUCAGGGCUGAGGUUUAUAAAUAUACACAGCACAUAGAAAUACAUAGUAAUGUGGUUUUGUUAGUUUUAUGGACAGAUAGGAAAUGUCCCUCUCCUUGAUGGUCAGUCAAGCAGGAUGUUUGGGUUAGGAAAGAUGGGAAGAAAAGGUCUCAGUUCUAUGAAAGGAAGACAUAGGGAAAAAAUAGCUGAGGGAAGUUCCUAAAAAGACCAUUUUUUCCCCACUCCCCAUUCUUUUCAUCUGAAAAAAUGCUUUACCUGCAACUCAGCAUCCUCCAGGAGGAUCCUGAGGAGCUGAGGGGACUGACAGGGCUUGGGAUGCACCUGCAGAUUCUUCUGGGACACUUUGUUGGCAGCUGA